rnacentral:rRNA from 1 species
UACGUAGGGUGCGAGCGUUGUCCGGAAUUAUUGGGCGUAAAGGGCUCGUAGGCGGUCUGUCACGUCGGGAGUGAAAACUCAGGGCUUAACCCUGAGCCUGCUUGCGAUACGGGCAGACUAGAGGUAUGCAGGGGAGAACGGAAUUCCUGGUGUAGCGGUGAAAUGCGCAGAUAUCAGGAGGAACACCGGUGGCGAAGGCGGUUCUCUGGGCAUUACCUGACGCUGAGGAGCGAAAGUGUGGGGAGCGAACAGG